UGGAGAGAUGGCCGAGCGGUCGAAGGCGCACGCCUGGAAAGUGUGUAUACGGCAACGUAUCGAGGGUUCGAAUCCCUCUCUCUCC
rnacentral:tRNA from 1 species